rnacentral:rRNA from 1 species
GGACUACAAGGGUUUCUAAUCCCGUUCGCUCCCCUGGCUUUCGCGCCUCAGCGUCAGGUGGGGUCCAGCACGCCGCUUUCGCCGCCGGCGUUCCUUCCGAUAUCUACGCAUUUCACCGCUCCACCGGAAGUUCCGCGUGCCCCUACCCCCCUCCAGAUGGCCGGUAUCAGAAGCACGCUUCCGGUUAAGCCGAAAGUUUUCACCCCUGACCAGGCCACCCGCCUACGCGCCCUUUAAGCCCAGUGAAUCCGAACAACGUUCGCACGGUUCGUCUUACCGCGGCUGCUGGCAC